UAACAUGGUGGAGGGGUUAACUAGGCAGACCCAACAACUCACACUUUAGUUUCCAUUGUUAUCAAGCUUACUCACCAUCUGGCUACCCAGUGAGGUCACACAGGAGAGGUAAAAACACAGCAAUUGCACGAAGGCACUAGUGGGAGUCUAUGAAUAAGGAUAUACACCACUUUGCAUCCUCGUGUUCUGACUAUGCAGUGCUUUCUACCUGCCGGAUAUCAUCUUCAUUUGUACCAUGGGACCCAGAACCCUCUGCAGCACCUGGUGUGGAUGAGUGAGUGAAGAGAAGUGAGCACAUCUGGGAGAACUUACAUCAACAGAUCAGAAAAGCCAUUAUGCAUUUUCAGCAUCGUGUGGAUCGCAGGAGAGUGUCAGCACCAUCAUUCCAGCCAGGGGACAGGGUGUGGUUAUUCACCAGAGACUUAAGAUUAAUGGGCAGCUAUAAAUUACCACACUGUCUGGGACCUUUUCUACCUCAAAAAUGAGAAGAUUAAUGAGGUAAUGUACAGACUGAAGUUACCGCGUACAUAUCACACAUCUCCCUCAUUUCAUGAAUCCCUCCUUAAGCCCCAUGUUCCAGGACCAUUAUCAGAUAAUGUAGGGAGGACUCUGCACAGCCACUGGACAUUGAGGGUUUGUCCACCUAUACGGUUUGUGAAAUCCUGGAUUCAAGAUGAAGGGGAAAUGAGAUCCAAUAGCUCAUUGAUUGGAAGGGAUAUGGUCCUCAGGAGAGAAGUCCUCCUUACUGCUGUAGUUUCACCAUUCAUCCUCGCAACCAUUUGGUGGUUCCUAUUGUGUUGGACUCCUUGGGGAGGUUACUUUCAUGCAGCCUGGAUGGACUAUAGGUCCUCAUCUGACUACAUUACAGAUUACUGAACUCACCUGUGUCUUGUUUUCCCUAAUGUUUAUUUUUAUAUAAAUUCAGAGUGUCUUUGCGAAGUCUCGUUUUGCCUGUCAUAUGCUUCUGAGCUGUUGUUAUGCAUUAGUGUUCUCUGGUUACCAUCUUAUGUUUGCUCCCUGGAUUCAAGCUAUUGCCUGUUCCUGUAUUGGAUUUGUUUGCCUAUCAUUUGUAUACUGGAUAUUUUGACCUUUGCCUGUUCCCUGACUAUGCCUUUGGAUUACCCCUGUAUUACAUUAUACUCUGUCAUAUUGCAUAUGCCUCUGCACAUCUUUAAUUUUUUAAAAUUCACUUUCUUGCAACCAAAUUUUAUUUCUGUGCAGUAUUAAUAUAGUUCUAUCACAUGUUGAAAUUAUUUGGUGCUGCAUUAAAA